GAAGAGUUAUCCAGACUAUGGGGAAGGACCUGACACCAAUCACACCCUCCAGGUGAGUAGAUGAAUCACACCUUAGGUAGUUUUCAAGAGAUGCAGUUGUGUGGAGGGUAGCAUGUGGGUCUCUAGCUAAAGGAGUAUGUAGCAGUUGCUGCUGUUGUUACAAUUGAUCUGAACAUUUUCUGCUGCACUUACUGUCUGACUUGUAAACAUUUUUUGUCAAUCUGCUCAGUUCAGUGAUCAUGUAAUUUGAAUUUUCUGAGAAAGGUAUAGUGGGGUAAAUUAAUUUGAAAGCUAAACUAAAACCUUAUACUUUAUUCAGAAUAAAAGUUUGAACUUUUGUUUGCUUUUUGAGAAGUGGGUCUUGUCUUGGCUGGCCUGGAAUUCACUAUAUAGAGCAAACUGGCCUGGAACUCAGAAGUUCAUCUGCCUCUGCUUUUACCAUUCCUGAAGUACUGAAUCCUCAGAUGUUAGGACCUUGGCUUAAUUUAAGCAGGUUUUGUUACUGAGCGGAGCAAAGCAAGAUUAGAACCAAUUACUUUAGCUAGUGUUGGGUUUUCAGAGAACCCUAAAUUGUUGGCAAGCAUCUUUUUGUACCAACAGUGGUUUCAGUAUUGAACUGGCAUCUGCCUUCACUGUGGUCGUCGCAUCAAACAUUGGCCUUCCCAUCAGCACAACACAUUGUAAGGUGGGCUCUGUGGUGUCUGUUGGCUGGCUCCGAUCCAAGAAGGCUGUUGACUGGCGACUGUUUCGAAACAUUUUUAUGGCCUGGUUUGUCACCGUCCCUAUUUCUGGGGUUAUCAGUGCUGCUAUCAUGGCAGUGUUCAAGCACAUCAUUCUGCCGGUGUGAAGCUGAGCUCAGAAUUGUGUCAGUGUCUGGGACCAUCGCACACACCCCUGUUCCUAAAGAAUGCUCAGUGUUGCUGAAGAUAGGCCAGGGUUUUAAAGUGGGGGAGCUGUGGGAAGGAAGUGUAAUUUAUACUAUAAUUGCUUUUGUGCUAAAUAUGACUUAUCUCAAAAUUAGCUGUGUAAAAUAGCCAGGUUUCCAUUGAUUCAUUCUAAGGUCCCUUUUCUCCUGGGCUAUGACUUCCUGUACAUAUUUCUCUACUUUUGUAUCAGGCAUCAAUUCCAUUAUGUUUUAAUGUCGUCUGUGAGAUAACUUAAUGUGGAUUCUUUUUAAACAGCCAAGCAGAGCCAUUUGAUGGCAUAUACUGCUUUGUUGGCCUCACCAGCUUCUUCCCCAGCGUGCACAGGGAUUUAACAAACAUGUAACUGAAGCUUCCCUUGUAGUCUCUCAUAGAAAUAGUCACGGCACUCUGCUCCCUGUCACUAGUGGCAGGUUCUGUUGACAUGUGACAACUUCUUAGAGGGCCGAGAAUCUUUGGCACAGUGAAAAUUUAAGUUUGUAGUAACUUCUUUGCAAACAGUUCGUGGACGUGUUGCUAAGAAGUAGGAAGACAAAGCCUGGUGGUUGUGGUUAUUCUUUUGAGAUUUCUGGCAGUGUGGGAUGGGUGAAUGAAGUGGAAUGGGAACUUUGGGCAAAUUCAAUGGGACAGCCUUCCAUGUUCAUCUGUCUACCUCUUAACUGAAUAAAAAGCCUACAGUUUUUAGAAAAUUUGU
rnacentral:lncRNA from 1 species